GACGAACGCUGGCGGCGUGCUUAACACAUGCAAGUCGAACGGUGACGCUCCAGCUUGCUGGAGUGGAUCAGUGGCGAACGGGUGAGUAACACGUGAGCAACCUGCCCCUGACUCUGGAAUAAGCGCUGGAAACGGCGUCUAAUACUGGAUACGAGAAGGGUCCGCAUGGGCACUUUCUGGAAAGUUUUUCGGUUGGGGAUGGGCUCGCGGCCUAUCAGCUUGUUGGUGGGGUAAUGGCUCACCAAGGCGACGACGGGUAGCCGGCCUGAGAGGGCGACCGGCCACACUGGGACUGAGACACGGCCCAGACUCCUACGGGAGGCAGCAGUGGGGAAUAUUGCACAAUGGGCGAAAGCCUGAUGCAGCGACGCCGCGUGAGGGAUGACGGCCUUCGGGUUGUAAACCUCUUUCAGCAGGGAAGAAGCGAAAGUGACGGUACCUGCAGAAGAAGCACCGGCUAACUACGUG
rnacentral:rRNA from 1 species